AUACGUAGGGGGCGAGCGUUGUCCGGAUUGAUUGGGCGUAAAGGGCGCGUAGGCGGCCCUGUAAGUCUGGAGUGAAAGCCCUGUUUUUAAGUUGGGAAUUGCUUUGGAUACUGUCGGGCUUGAGUGCAGGAGAGGAAAGUGGAAUUCCCAGUGUAGCGGUGAAAUGCGUAGAUAUUGGGAGGAACACCAGUGGCGAAGGCGGCUUUCUGGACUGUAACUGACGCUGAGGCGCGAAAGUGUGGGGAGCAAACAGGAUUAGAUACCCUGGUAGUCCACACUGUAAACGAUGAAUGCUAGGUGUAGGGGGUAUCGACCCCUUCUGUGCCGCAGUCAACACAAUAAGCAUUCCGCCUGGGGAGUACGGCCGCAAGGUUGAAACUCAAAGGAAUUGACGGGG
rnacentral:rRNA from 1 species